AGCUGGGAUUACAGUAGAGACGGGGUUUCACCAUUUUGGCCAGGCUGGUCUUGAACUUCUCACCUUGUGAUCCACCCGCCUCAGCCUCCCAAAGUGCUGGGAUUACAGGCGUGAGCCACCGCGCCUGGUGAGCCCUCUUAUUUUUAUAACAUGCUUCCUAUGUGUUGAUUUUGUUUUCCCUAUUAGGGUAAAUUUUUGAAGGCAGGAGGCAUCUCUUAUAUCCUGUAGUGAUGAGCAUAAUACGAGUUGUUCAAUAAAUACACAUUUGGCAAAGAUGAGAGAGGUGGAGAGAGAAAGAGGUUCCUCUGCUGAAGAAGUGUGAUUACUUUUGGGUUUUGUCUACCUCAUGUGGUACCCAUUUCUAGCAGGGAAUUUCUUCCACUUGCAGACCAAGUGUGUUGGGGACUUGAGAUGCGUACAUGAGUGUGAUGUUUCCUGCUGAAAGCACAGGUGAGACGUGGUCUUGUAACACAGUGGUUAAGAAUGUGACUUUGGAGCCAGCCUGCUAGGGGCUGAAUUCUGACUCAGCCAUUUACUAACUGUGUGACCUUAGUUCCCUGAGCACAUGCUGUUGAGUAAUCCUGCCUGGACCAGUACUUCCCUCACCCUAGACUUCACCUUCAGUUCCCCUUUAUACCACCUGCUGAAGCUGCCAGCCAGCCUUUUCGACCACCCUCCCUCCCCCAGGGGUGUUUGGCUUCUCAGACCCCAGCCUGAGCUAGUGCCCUUGGCUUCC
rnacentral:lncRNA from 10 species